UGGUGGAGUGAUUUGUCUGCUUAAUUGCGAUAACGAACGAGACCUUAACCUGCUAAAUAGCCAGGCUUACUUUGUAGGUCGCAGGCUUCUUAGAGGGACUAUCGGGUUCUAAACCGAUGGAAGUUUGAGGCAAUAACA
rnacentral:rRNA from 1 species